rnacentral:rRNA from 1 species
GAAAGUCUGACGGAGCAACGCCGCGUGAGUGAUGAAGGUUUUCGGAUCGUAAAGCUCUGUUGUUAGGGAAGAACAAGUACCGUUCGAAUAGGGCGGUACCUUGACGGUACCUAACCAGAAAGCCACGGCUAACUACGUGCCAGCAGCCGCGGUAAUACGUAGGUGGCAAGCGUUGUCCGGAAUUAUUGGGCGUAAAGGGCUCGCAGGCGGUUCCUUAAGUCUGAUGUGAAAGCCCCCGGCUCAACCGGGGAGGGUCAUUGGAAACUGGGGAACUUGAGUGCAGAAGAGGAGAGUGGAAUUCCACGUGUAGCGGUGAAAUGCGUAGAGAUGUGGAGGAACACCAGUGGCGAAGGCGACUCUCUGGUCUGUAACUGACGCUGAGGAGCGAAAGCGUGGGGAGCGAACAGGAUUAGAUACCCUGGUAGUCCACGCCGUAAACGAUGAGUGCUA